CCUCAUAAAGAAAGAAUGCCAAUUGUUAAAUCAACCAGGGAGUCACUGUGCACUUACUCCCCAUGUAGGACCUCUAUCCUUAAUGAGUUGUACUAAGAAUUGAUGGGUAAAACUUGUCUUCAAACAGUACUUUAGUGUCUGUCCACCCAUCACAACCUUCAGCUGGACUAUCUUUUAACAAUGAACGCCUUCAAAAAUAACAGCUGAUCUGGAGAAAAUGUAAUAAAACAUGGCAAAGCAAUAGGAACAAAUUUAUGUGAAUCGUGCAUGCCCAGAACUGGGCUAGAGCUGUGCCAAGAUCCAGGAUCCAGGAAUUCCAUCUAUGUCUCCCCCAUUGGUUUUAGGAGUCCAGGCACAUGAGCCAUCUUCCACUGAACCAUAAAACCCACGCUUCUUGUCCUCUGUUUUUGUCACGGGUAUGGAGAUUUCCUUAAUUGUUCUUGCCCGUUUGCUUCAUGGUUCUGAUUAUAGGAAAUUUGCUGGCAGAAGAUUAAGGAUAGGAGGUGUGGAAAAACCAGUCUUUAUCCCACAGUUACUCAUCUAUACGGAGCUCUGCUGCUGUAAGGAAACCUUAUCAUAAAUCUAAUUCUAGAAAUAUCGCCUCCUUCCAUUCUUUGUAGCAGCUUCCAGUGUUGCUAAUGACUGUUAAGCUUAUGAUCCCCUUUGUGAUGAAAAAUAUAACCUAUAGACCCAAGGAACUCUACAAAUCCCCAUCAAGAUAAACACUAGGAAAAACAGGUGUGCGCAUUUGGCACAGUGGUUACAAAUCCAAUUAGGACAUCCACAUGCCUAGUCGGAUUCCCUGGGUUCAAGUCCCAGAUUUGUUUCUGAAGCCAGCUUCUUGCUAGUGCAAGCAUACGAGGCAGAAGAUGAUGGUUCAAGUACUGGGUCCCAGCCAUCCACACAGGAGGACCAGAUACAGUUUUCACCUCCUGUUUGGCCUUGCCCAGCCCCUGCUCUGUUGCAGGUGUUUGAGAAGUGACCCAGUGAAUGGAAGACCUUUGUCUGUCUCUGUCUCUCACUCUUUCUCUGCCUAUCAAAUAAAAUAAAGAUAAACAAAAAAUUAAAAAGAGGGAAAACACAUCAAGGUACAUUAUAAUCAUAUUAUUGAAAAUCAAUUAUUAAAUUGAGAAACUCUUAAAAGCAGUCAGAGAUAAAGAAAAACAAAAAUGAGAAAUACUGCUGACUUUUUAUCAGAACAAUGAAAGUGAGUCAGUGCUGAAAAACAGAAAAGCAAAAGCUCUUUCAAGUUAGAAUUCCCUGUCUUGCAAAAUAUUCUUUAAAGCUGAAGGUAAAGCAAAGAUAUUUCCAAAAGAAUUGAGAUAAUCUGUUACCAGCAAACUAGUCUACAAACCGUGUUAAAAGAAGCUAUUCAGGCUAAAAUAAAAUUGUAUUAGAUGAAAACCAGGGUUUGUACAAAGGAAUGAUGGACAUCUUUAAUGAUAUAGGUGUGGAUAAAUAUAAAGUACUAUUUCUUUAAAAUAAUAGAUUUCAAGGCAAAAUAAUCACAUUCUGUAGGCUUCAAAAUAUGUAUGAAAAAUGUAAAGAAUAAUUUAUGAAAAAAACCUAGAUAAUGGGUGUAGUUCAGGAAUGAUUUGUCAAUAUAACAUUCAAAGGUUCUUGCAUUGUAUACAAAGAGCUGUGUUCUUAUUUUAAUUUAGACUCUGAGAAUUUUAACAUGCAUAAUGCAGACCUUACAACAGCCACUGAGAAAGAAUUAUCAUUAUAAACAUCAGAAAAAUUUAAAUUUAUUUUUGAUUCUAUAAGCAUUAUUUCAACAAAAAUAUAUCUUAGUAUAAAAAAUUAUGCAUUGUUUAAAAUUAAUCAACUUGUGAUUCUUUCAUAAUUCAUUUGAAAGAGAAAAACUAUAGGAAACACACUGGUGAAUAAUGGAGCCAUUUAUUGCCCUUCAGAAAUCUACUCAGAUCUUCUGAAAGUAUUCUGGUUAUUUGGCUAAUUCAGCUCUUUUGUGGAGGUGCUUCUUCAAGAACAUUGUAUCCUUGAAGUUCUUCUAUUCUUGUUGGAUACUAGGUUGUCAACAUUAGGUGUAUUAGCUUUCUGAAGUCUUUGAUGUUUCCAUGGAUAUAUAAGUUACAAUAUUUACGUGGUUUUUGGUUGGAUAGAUGCAUUUUAUUCAAGUAGAGUUGUGAUUAAUUUCAAGUUUCACUGUUCAGUCCACAAUGCACAUUACAAUUUUGACUUCCAUCUGGCACACUGUCACUUGGUUGGAGAGUUUCGAUGUUUUUGAGAAGCAGUUAAGACUGGAAAAAUGAAAUUGGUAUCCACAGAGCC